rnacentral:rRNA from 1 species
UACGGAGGAUGCAAGCGUUAUCCGGAAUCAUUGGGCGUAAAGCGUCCGCAGGUGGCACUUCAAGUCUGCCGUCAAAGACCGUAGCUCAACUAUGGAAAGGCGGUGGAAACUGAAGCGCUAGAGUGCAGUAGGGGUAGAGGGAAUUCCCAGUGUAGCGGUGAAAUGCGUAGAGAUUGGGAAGAACACCGGUGGCGAAAGCGCUCUGCUGGACUGCAACUGACACUCAUGGACGAAAGCUAGGGGAGCGAAUGGG